AUUUUCUUGGCUGUUAAUUACCUCCCAUGGGACCAUGACUUUUGGGGCAUUUGUUCCAAUCAGCAAAUUGUACCUGCAUGGCAGGGCUUGGGUCAUGCUGCAGUCAUUCAACUGCAAUAUUAUUCAAAGAUGAGCUCUGUGUGAGGAUAGGAAGGCAGAGACAGAGAAAGCAGCAAUUACUUCUGGAGUGUGCAUGUGGAAAGACAUAAGCAGGAAAGAAGUCAAGCCAGCUGCAUUGAGGGAAAUCAGCUUCCACAAACCAAAGAGAGUUGACAGAUGAUGACAUUCGGGAACUGCAGGUUGUGGUCCCACGUGCUGCAGUGCUGACAAGUCUGGAGAAUAGUUAAAUGUCCUAUCUGUGCUCUGGGGUGAAAAUAUGGAGGAGAUGGCAAGACAAGCCUACAUUGCAUUUAUGACCCAAAGCCAUCAAGAUUUCAGGGUCACAACCUGUGGCUUAGUGGUGCGGCUUUCCGAGCCACACCUUGGAUCAUUGCCAGAUGGGAUAGCAAGAUGUACCGGCUGUAGCAAAGGGAUGUAAAGAUAAAGUGUCCCUACAAGUACCGUGAUAGCCUUCAGGGAACUACAGAAGACAAGCAGUUUUGUCUGGACAAGUCACUCAUAUUGAAGCAUUCACACCCAUACUACUAUCAAAUUCAACUCCACAUGUUUGUGUGUGAUGUUAGCUACUGUGACUUUGUGUUGUGGACGAAGGAGGACUUCACUGUGCAACAUAUCCUGAGAAAUCAAGAGUUUCUGCAGGAGGCUUUGCCAAAAGCACAAGAUUUCUUUAUCUUGAGUCUGUUGCUUGAACUACUGACAAGAAGAUACGACCCUGCCUUGGAGACACAGAAGGCCUGCCAGUACUGUGAAAGGCCAGAUUUUGGCAAAAUGAUCAACUGUGUCAAAUGCAACAACCACUUUCAUCACAGCUGUGUACAGAUCAAAAGGAAGCCAGCAACACGGUUAUGUAGAGAAAGUCAGAGAAGAGGCAUGAAUGCCUUAUUGACAAUGUUGGAAAAUUCAUUAGUAACUUUUUCCUUACAUUUUAUAUUGUGUUUCUUGGUAUUGACUGCUGUCUGUAUGUAGAUGCACUUCACUGCAACAAGACAUUUAAAGUUUCAUUCCAUAAACCUAUAUAUGUAUCCAUUAGAGAUAUUUUGCUACUUAAAAUUAUCAAGAAAUAUUUCUAUGACAGAUUUCUUCUGGGGGCAGUAUACCUUAAAAAAAUGUGGGCAAAAGGCUUGAGAUGCAGUAUCUACAGUAUCUCCAUAAUAUGAUUUACUUUAAUGGCACCUAUAUAUUUUUUGUUCAAAGAGUCACAUUUCUCCAAUGGUACAUAUCUAAUUUUGGGAUGAAACUCUUUGUUAAUAACAUCACUAUAAACAAAAGUGAUAUUGCACUCUGAAUUGUUGUAGUUUGAGAUAAAAAAGGAUGAUUAUACACAUCAGGGACAGCUAA